CCAUUUGGUGGGCAGUAGAUCAG
rnacentral:piRNA from 1 species